GAGAGAUGGCUGAGUGGUUGAUAGCCCCGGUCUGAAA
rnacentral:tRNA from 1 species